AUCACUUUCAGAACGGAGUACUCCUCUGGGAGACCUGUCACUGCUGGUGUGGUCCAGAAGGUGGGAAGCCCACUGCUCUUCUCCAGCCACACGUUCUCGCUAGGUCACACCUAUCAUCCCAUGGCUUUAAACAAGAUACAUGUGCCACUGCCUCUUAAAGCUUCAUCACCAACACUGAUUGAUCUUUCACCAAAGCACCCUUACCGUAGUGGAACCAGAAGUAAAAUCUGCAUCCAACACCUUGUGUCCUGAAUGAAAGAAGAGGUACCCAGGAAGGCAAGUGAAGAGUGGCAACUGCCAGGAAUGACAGGAUGGGGGCGGUGUCCAUGAGGAGUGCCCUCAGGGAGCCAGGCCCACAAGUAACUCCAGAGUCUGAGGAAGAGGCCCUCUUUCCCUUCACAGCACCAUCUGGCAAAGUCCCCCAAGAGACUCCCAGUGACUUAAGAGGGUAGGUGGAAGAAAAGUUUUCCCUUCCUGACAGGUUGGCAACAAGGAUGGGAUUGUUGGGACUUAACGGUGUGCUCUGGAAACUGGUUCUGAGACCUCAGGACCUCUGAUGAAGCUGGCAAGGGCAAGCUCUCCUUACUGCUCUGUCUCCUGCAUUUCUGCUUGGAGUCCAGUUGAAAACGAGUGCCUCAGAUGGAGUGGGAAUCACAAUCACGCCAUGUUCACCUUAUAUUCUUU